rnacentral:rRNA from 1 species
GUAGGUGGCAAGCGUUGUCCGGAAUUAUUGGGCGUAAAGCGCGCGCAGGCGGUUCUUUAAGUCUGAUGUGAAAGCCCACGGGCUCAACCGUGGAGGGUCAUUGGAAACUGGAGAACCUGAGUACAGAAGAGGAAAGCGGAAUUCCACGUGUAGCGGUGAAAUGCGUAGAGAUGUGGAGGAACACCAGUGGCGAAGGCGGCUUUCUGGUCUGUAACUGACGCUGAGGCGCGAAAGCGUGGGGAGCAAACAGGAUUAGAUACCCUGGUAGUCCACGCCGUAAACGAUGAGUGCUAAGUGUUAGGGGGUUUCCGCCCCUUAGUGCCGCAGCUAACGCAUUAAGCACUCCGCCUGGGGAGUACGGCCGCAAAGGCUG